UACAGAGGUCUCAAGCGUUGUUCGGAUUCAUUGGGCGUAAAGGGUGCGUAGGCGGCGCGGUAAGUCGGGGGUGAAAUCUCGGAGCUUAACUUCGAAACUGCAUUCGAUACUGCCGGGCUUGAGGACUGGAGAGGAGACUGGAAUUUACGGUGUAGCGGUGAAAUGCGUAGAUAUCGUAAGGAAGACCAGUGGCGAAGGCGGGUCUCUGGACAGUUCCUGACGCUGAGGCACGAAGGUCAGGGGAGCAAACGGG
rnacentral:rRNA from 1 species